rnacentral:lncRNA from 1 species
CUCCCCUCCACUCGGCUGCCGCAGCCCCGCUAGUCGCGCGCGUCAGCGUGGGCUCCCCGGAGCGAGUCGCUAGGUAACGGGGCUGGCUCCGCAGACCCGGGGCCGGGGAAGCCCGCGCGCGUCGUCAGCAGCGGCGCAGCGGGGCGGGGGCAAGGGGCGCACGGACCCUUUUCAUUCGGGCCUGCGGACCCUGGCUCGCACGCAGCCCCCUCCCAGGAUGCCUUAACCGGCGCCGAUCGCAGUCAUCCAGGUGCCCCUCCCUUGCAGGGACCCCAACGCCGCCAGCCCCUUCCUCCUUCCUAGCCGGUGCGCACUGCUCUGCGCGCAGCCGGGUGGGAGCCCCGCUGCCGCGGUCGCCGUCGCCGGUUAGCCUGGGGAGGAAGAUAAAGACAUUUGCAACCAAGAUGGUAAUCACGAGUGGAAAUGACGAAGACAGAGGAGGCCAAGAAAAAGAGAGCAAAGAGGAGAGUGUCUUGGCGAUGCUGGGCAUCAUCGGGACCAUCCUGAACCUAAUCGUGAUCAUAUUUGUGUACAUAUACACCACUCUGUGAACGGCCCAGCGGGUCCGCAGAGGCCUCGGGAUGGCCAAGACGGGAGUCCUGUGUGUCGACAGAUCGGUAAGCAGACACUGUGUGAACAAGCGAGCUUGACCUACCCACGCUGCUCGAUCAAAGGCACCUUUGAACUUUAUCAAAGGUCACAAAAAUCAACCGAUCCUGCUACAAGGAGCCGACACUAAAGCACAAUGAACCCAACAGAACUCAUCCACGCAACGAGGAGCUCAGCGUCUUCGGCAGAGGGCCCGAGAGAACGCUCGGAAGACCAGCCUUGGCUGCCGUCGGAGAGCGCAUGGGUGCAGACGUUCAAGAUGCCUGGUCGCUGACGACAUCACGUAUUCAAAGAGAGGAACAGGGCAGACUCCGCUCGUCGGUGUGUCUCCCAGGACACACAUUUCAUCUUGACUCGAUGGGCUGUCCAGGACGAGAAACCGCAGGGGCAGUCCUUUGACAGACAUCCCAUUCAUCAAAAGUGUCUAACUAUUUGAUACUGGGGAGAUAACUUAUUUUUCUUUUUUCAUUGGCUUGACAUGUGUAUCUGUUCAUAUCAAGGUUUAUAAAUAUAUAUUUUUAAUAAAUGUGCUCUAUUUUUUAGCA